CGUAGGUGACCUGCGGAGGAUCAUUAUUGAAUAAACUUGAACAGGCUGUUGCUGGCCCUUAGGGGUAUGUGCACGCUUGUCAAUCUUUAUUUCUCCAACUGUGCACAUAUUGUAGACCUGGAGAUUUUUUGUUGUUGUUGAUUUUGUUAUCGAGUUGGAACUGCUACUGCUGUUGCUGUUGCUUUUCCUUGAAAAUCCUUUCCAGGUCUAUGUACCUUUUUUCACAAACCUAUGAAUCUGUUUAGAAUAACAAAGUUGAAUUUAAAUAUACAACUUUCAGCAACGGAUCUCUUGGCUCUCGCAUCGAUGAAGAACGCAGCGAAAUGCGAUAAGUAAUGUGAAUUGCAGAAUUCAGUGAAUCAUCGAAUCUUUGAACGCAUCUUGCGCUCCUUGGUAUUCCUUGGAGCAUGCCUGUUUGAGUGUCAUUCAAGUUCUCAAACCAAAUUAGAUUGUGAUGUGGCUUGGAUGUGGGGGGUUUUUUUGUGCAGGCCUUUUUGUGAGGGUCAGCUCCCCUGAAAUGCAUUAGCGGUAUCUGAGCAGAGAAACUACCACAGGUGUGAUAAAUUUAUCUAUGCCUUGGUGAGCUGCAUGAACAGAUUGUGCUGCUUAUAACCAUAUUUUUGAUGAAAUUUGACCUCAAAUCAGGUAGGACUACCCGCUGAACUUAAGCAUAU
rnacentral:rRNA from 1 species